rnacentral:rRNA from 1 species
UUGAUCCUGGCUCCCGAUGAACGCUAGCGGGAGGCCUAAUACAUGCAAGUCGAACGGUAAGUUAGUUGCUUGCAACUAACACGAGUGGCGCACGGGUGAGUAACGCGUACGCGACCUGCCCUCAAGAGGGAAAUAGCCCUGGGAAACCGGGAUUAAUGUCCCAUGUGAUUGUAUUUCUAAGGGAUAUAAUUAAAGGAGCGAUCCGCUUGAGGAUGGGCGUGCGUGCUAUUAGCUAGUUGGUGAGGUAAUGGCUCACCAAGGCGACGAUAGCUAGGGGGCGUGAGAGCGUGACCCCCCACACGGGUACUGAGACACGGACCCGACUCCUACGGGAGGCAGCAGUAAGGAAUAUUGGACAAUGGAGGCAACCCUGAUCCAGCCAUCCCGCGUGCAGGAAGACGGCCCUAUGGGUUGUAAACUGCUUUUAUUAGGGAAGAAUAGCAUCAAUGAAUUGGUGUAUGACGGUACCUAAAGAAUAAGCACCGGCUAACUCCGUGCCAGCAGCCGCGGUAAUACGGAGGGUGCAAGCGUUAUCCGGAAUCACUGGGUUUAAAGGGUGCGUAGGUGGAAUAAUAAGUCAGGCGUGAAAGGUUACAGCUUAACUGUAGACUUGCGUUUGAUACUGUUAUUCUUGAAUUACGAUGAGGUUGGCAGAAUGCGACAUGUAGCGGUGAAAUGCAUAGAUCUGUCGUAGAAUACCGAUUGCGAAGGCAGCCAACCGGACUUACAUUGACACUGAGGCACGAAAGCGUGGGGAGCGAACCGGAUUAGAUACCCUGGUAGU